GAAUAUUGGACAAUGGGCGCAAGCCUGAUCCAGCAAUGCCGCGUGGGUGAAGAAGGCCUUCAGGUUGUAAAGCCCUUUUGUACGGGAAGAAAAGCUUCGGACUAAUACUUCGGGGUCAUGACGGUACCGUAAGAAUAAGAACCGGCUAACUUAGUGCCAGCAGCCGCGGUAAUACGAAGGGUGCAAGCGUUACUCGGAAUUACUGGGCGUAAAGCGUGCGUAGGUGGUUUGUUAAGUCUGAUGUGAAAGCCCUGGGCUCAACCUGGGAAUGGCAUUGGAUACUGGCUUACUAGAGUGCGGUAGAGGGAUGCGGAAUUUCCGGUGUAGCGGUGAAAUGCGUAGAGAUCGGAAGGAACAUCUGUGGCGAAGGCGGCAUCCUGGACCAGCACUGACACUGAGGCACGAAAGCGUGGGGAGCAAACAGG
rnacentral:rRNA from 1 species